rnacentral:lncRNA from 1 species
GUGACCGAACUGCCCGCGCGGAGAGGACUGGCGGCGGAGAACUGCAGCAAGAGCAGGAAACCCACGGGACCGCGGACGUGCGCGAGGCUCGAGGCCGCGCUGCACCGAGGAGCGCCGUGCGGUCACUUCCGGCCUGCGGGGGGACUUUUUAAAGGAAUAGCGGGUAUUUCCGAAGCCAUGGGGGCAUCGCCACGCCGCGGUGUCGCCGCUAGGGCUGGGGCUUCUGUGAGUUCUAAUGAUUCUGCCGUACGUGCUUUGCUCUAAUUGUCAACUGUUUUGUCAAGUCCGCGUUGGCUCCAAGAGAGACCUUCCCUGAAGUUUUCAGUGCCCGCGGAGUGGACAGCCCCGGCGGAGCAUCUGACCGCCCGCUCCCCGGCUCCCGCUGUAGCAAGCAUCGGGCGUACUUGUCAUUCACGUCGAUGAUGCUGUUUUCCUUAGAGAUCCGAGUGUACAAAUGGACUGAUGCUGCAAAGUCCGUGGGUGGGGUUGGGGUGGGGAGAGUACUUCUGCCUGCCGGGUCUUCAGAGAUGAGUUUACAUUUCGAUGAGUAGUAGCGCUGACAAGCCACGUCUUGCAAGGGCGGUUGCAUUUGACCGAAUGGCACAGGUUCCCUUCACCGAUAUGAGCUCGGGCAGCAUUCAUCAUCUGGAGGGGGAUCUUUCCAUAUCUACCUCUCCUUUCUACUGUUCGAAGUGUAAAUUCAUCUCAGGUUAUUGAGUUUUCAGUACUUUGAUUGUAUCCAAAUGGAAGCAUUCAAGUAUGAUAUUGUCUAGCAGUAAAUUUACUUAAAAAAAAAAAAAAACUGACCCUGUGGACUAUCACAUGAGUUAUAAAUAUCCAAGGUAAAAGAGUGAACAGAGAGUUGCAGGAGGACUAAGAAACACGAGGAAACAUGAGUAACCGUGAUAACGGUUAUAAUUUGCUUUAAAGAUCAUUUACAUUUUCUUUUAAAAUUUCCUGUGUAUGAGUUCUUUGCCUGGAUGUAUGUCUAUUCACGAUGUGCUAGAGCAACCAGAGCUCUUAACCACUGAGCCAUUUCUCCAACCCCCAAAGAGUAUAUAUUUGCCUUUUGAGAGAGAACAGUUUUUAGUCGUUUUUGUCAUUUCCAUGGAUGUGGAAAAUUAAAAUUCCAAUUUAUUUCUUGGCUAUUUUACUAGGGAAUCUAACUUAAUAAAAUGGAUGUUCUGUUGAAUCUACAGGUCAUACAUUGGGAUAAGAUAGUUACAAAAGCGCAGUUACCACCUCGAUGUACUUUAAUGUUAGUCAUUAAAAUUCUCUGAGUGGUGUGGAAAAGUAAAUACCGUACACAUCAAAGAAGGGGCUCUUGGGACCUAGGAGGGGUGGGGCAAGGCUUAAACAGACACCUUUCAGUCUCAGGCUUAGUCUGGAGGACAUCAAGUUCUUGUCUGUAGUUUUAAAGGUUAAGAUUAUUUUCUUUGCUGUGGGAAAGAAUAGUGUUAUUUUUUUUUAGUUUAGUUUUUUUUUUUGUUUGUUUUUC